CCGCGUGUGUGAAGAAGGCCUUCGGGUUGUAAAGCACUUUCAGCGGGGAGGAAGGCGUUAAGGUUAAUAACCUUGGCGAUUGACGUUACCCGCAGAAGAAGCACCGGCUAACUCCGUGCCAGCAGCCGCGGUAAUACGGAGGGUGCAAGCGUUAAUCGGAAUUACUGGGCGUAAAGCGCACGCAGGCGGUCUGUCAAGUCGGAUGUGAAAUCCCCCGGCUCAACCUGGGAACUGCAUUCGAAACUGGCAGGCUAGAGUCUUGUAGAGGGGGGUAGAAUUCCAGGUGUAGCGGUGAAAUGCGUAGAGAUCUGGAGGAAUACCGGUGGCGAAGGCGGCCCCCUGGACCAAGACUGACGCUCAGGUGCGAAAGCGUGGGGAGCA
rnacentral:rRNA from 1 species